AACGAACGCUGGCGGCAGGCCUAACACAUGCAAGUCGAGCGCGCCCUUCGGGGUGAGCGGCUGACGGGUGUGUAACGCGUGGGAACGUUCCCUUUUCUACGAAAUAGCCUCGGGAAACUGAGAGUAAUACCGAAUACGCCCUUUUGCGGAAAGAUUUAUCGGAAAAGGAUCGGCCCGCGGUGGAUGGGUUAGUUGGUGGGGUAAUGGCCUCCCAAGCCUAUGAUCCAUAGCUGACUUGAUAGGAUGAUCAGCCACACUGGGCCUGAGCCACGGCCCAGAUUCCUACGGGAGGAAGCAGUGGGGAAUCUUAGACAAUGGGGGAACCCCUGAUCUAGCAAGGCCGGGUGAGUGAUGAAGGCUUUAGGGUUGUAAAGCUCUUUCAGCUGGGCAGAUAAUGACGGUACCAGCAGAAGAAGCCCCGGCGAACUCCGU
rnacentral:rRNA from 1 species